UACGAAGGGGGCUAGCGUUGCUCGGAAUCACUGGGCGUAAAGGGUGCGUAGGCGGCGCGGUAAGUCGGGUGUGAAAUUUCGAGGCUCAACUUCGAAACUGCAUUCGAUACUGCCGUGCUUGAGGACUGGAGAGGAGACUGGAAUUUACGGUGUAGCGGUGAAAUGCGUAGAUAUCGUAAGGAAGACCAGUGGCGAAGGCGGGUCUCUGGACAGUUCCUGACGCUGAGGCACGAAGGCCAGGGGAGCAAACGGG
rnacentral:rRNA from 1 species